AUGUUCUAGGAAAGGACAGGUUAGCCCUCUCUGUGACAAGGAUGGAGGUCCUCGUGGCCUCUACAACACACAUACAGUUAAGGCAUCACCACCUACUCUGAGGCAUUGAACCAUGUCUUCAU
ensembl:snRNA